UGGGGAAUUUUGGACAAUGGGGGCAACCCUGAUCCAGCAAUGCCGCGUGAGUGAAGAAGGCCUUCGGGUUGUAAAGCUCUUUUGUCAGGGAAGAAACGGUAGUAGCGAAUAACUAUUACUAAUGACGGUACCUGAAGAAUAAGCACCGGCUAACUACGUGCCAGCAGCCGCGGUAAUACGUAGGGUGCAAGCGUUAAUCGGAAUUACUGGGCGUAAAGCGUGCGCAGGCGGUUGUGUAAGUCAGAUGUGAAAUCCCCGGGCUCAACCUGGGAAUUGCAUUUGAGACUGCACGGCUAGAGUGUGUCAGAGGGGGGUAGAAUUCCACGUGUAGCAGUGAAAUGCGUAGAUAUGUGGAGGAAUACCGAUGGCGAAGGCAGCCCCCUGGGAUAACACUGACGCUCAUGCACGAAAGCGUGGGGAGCAAACAGGAUUAGAUACCCCGGUAGUCCCUGAGCGGGCUGGCAAGGCGCAU
rnacentral:rRNA from 1 species